CACGUAGGGCGCAAGCGUUGUCCGGAAUUAUUGGGCGUAAAGAGCUCGUAGGCGGACUGUCACGUCCGCUGUGAAAAGCUAGGGCUUAACCCUGGCCUUGCAGUGGAUACGGGCAGACUAGAGGUAGGUAGGGGAGAAUGGAAUUCCCAGUGUAGCGGUGAAAUGCGCAGAUAUCAGGAGGAACACCGGUGGCGAAGGCGGAUCUCUGGGCCUGUUCUGACGCUGAGGCGCGAAAGCUAGGGGAGCGAACAGG
rnacentral:rRNA from 1 species